rnacentral:rRNA from 1 species
GGUUAAGCGACUAAGCGUACACGGUGGAUGCCCUGGCAGUCAGAGGCGAUGAAGGACGUGCUAAUCUGCGAUAAGCGUCGGUAAGGUGAUAUGAACCGUUAUAACCGGCGAUUUCCGAAUGGGGAAACCCAGUGUGAUUCGUCACACUAUCAUUAACUGAAUCCAUAGGUUAAUGAGGCGAACCGGGGGAACUGAAACAUCUAAGUACCCCGAGGAAAAGAAAUCAACCGAGAUUCCCCCAGUAGCGGCGAGCGAACGGGGAGCAGCCCAGAGCCUGAAUCAGUGUGUGUGUUAGUGGAAGCGUCUGGAAAGGCGCGCGAUACAGGGUGACAGCCCCGUACACAAAAAUGCACAUACUGUGAGCUCGAUGAGUAGGGCGGGACACGUGGUAUCCUGUCUGAAUAUGGGGGGACCAUCCUCCAAGGCUAAAUACUCCUGACUGACCGAUAGUGAACCAGUACCGUGAGGGAAAGGCGAAAAGAACCCCGGCGAGGGGAGUGAAAAAGAACCUGAAACCGUGUACGUACAAGCAGUGGGAGCACAGAGCAAUCUGUGUGACUGCGUACCUUUUGUAUAAUGGGUCAGCGACUUAUAUUCUGUAGCAAGGUUAACCGAAUAGGGGAGCCGAAGGGAAACCGAGUCUUAACUGGGCGUUAAGUUGCAGGGUAUAGACCCGAAACCCGGUGAUCUAGCCAUGGGCAGGUUGAAGGUUGGGUAACACUAACUGGAGGACCGAACCGACUAAUGUUGAAAAAUUAGCGGAUGACUUGUGGCUGGGGGUGAAAGGCCAAUCAAACCGGGAGAUAGCUGGUUCUCCCCGAAAGCUAUUUAGGUAGCGCCUCGUGAAUUCAUCUCCGGGGGUAGAGCACUGUUUCGGCAAGGGGGUCAUCCCGACUUACCAACCCGAUGCAAACUGCGAAUACCGGAGAAUGUUAUCACGGGAGACACACGGCGGGUGCUAACGUCCGUCGUGAAGAGGGAAACAACCCAGACCGCCAGCUAAGGUCCCAAAGUCAUGGUUAAGUGGGAAACGAUGUGGGAAGGCCCAGACAGCCAGGAUGUUGGCUUAGAAGCAGCCAUCAUUUAAAGAAAGCGUAAUAGCUCACUGGUCGAGUCGGCCUGCGCGGAAGAUGUAACGGGGCUAAACCAUG